GCAACCUGCCUGUAAGACUGGGAUAACAUAGGGAAACUUAUGCUAAUACCGGAUAGGGUUUUGCUUCGCCUGAAGCGAAACGGAAAGAUGGCGCAAGCUAUCACUUACAGAUGGGCCUGCGGCGCAUUAGCUAGUUGGUGAGGUAAUGGCUCACCAAGGCGACGAUGCGUAGCCGACCUGAGAGGGUGACCGGCCACACUGGGACUGAGACACGGCCCAGACUCCUACGGGAGGCAGCAGUAGGGAAUUUUCCACAAUGGACGAAAGUCUGAUGGAGCAACGCCGCGUGAACGAUGAAGGCUUUCGGGUCGUAAAGUUCUGUUGUUAGGGAAGAAACAGUGCUAUUUAAAUAAGGUAGCACCUUGACGGUACCUAACGAGAAAGCCACGGCUAACUACGUGCCAGCAGCCGCGGUAAUACGUAGGUGGCAAGCGUUGUCCGGAAUUAUUGGGCGUAAAGCGCGCGCAGGUGGCUAUGUAAGUCUGAUGUUAAAGCCCGAGGCUCAACCUCGGUUCGCAUUGGAAACUGUGUAGCUUGAGUGCAGGAGAGGAAAGUGGUAUUCCACCGUGUAGCGGUGAAAUGCGUAGAGAUGUGGAGGAACACCCAGUGGCGAAGGCGACUUUCUGGCCUGUAACUACACUA
rnacentral:rRNA from 1 species